rnacentral:rRNA from 1 species
AACGAACGCUGGCGGCAUGCCUAACACAUGCAAGUCGAACGAAGGCUUCGGCCUUAGUGGCGCACGGGUGCGUAACGCGUGGGAAUCUGCCCUUGGGUUCGGAAUAACAGCGGGAAACUGCUGCUAAUACCGGAUGAUGUCGAUAAGACCAAAGAUUUAUCGCCUGAGGAUGAGCCCGCGUUGGAUUAGGUAGUUGGUGGGGUAAAGGCCUACCAAGCCGACGAUCCAUAGCUGGUCUGAGAGGAUGAUCAGCCACACUGGGACUGAGACACGGCCCAGACUCCGACGGGAGGCAGCAGUGGGGAAUAUUGGACAAUGGGCGAAAGCCUGAUCCAGCAAUGCCGCGUGAGUGAUGAAGGCCUUAGGGUUGUAAAGCUCUUUUACCCGGGAUGAUAAUGACAGUACCGGGAGAAUAAGCCCCGGCUAACUCCGUGCCAGCCGCCGCAGUAAUAC